AGAACUCAGCCUUUGUGCAUUUCAAGCCUCCCAAACCUUCCAAACACCCCAAAACAAGCAUCCAAUUCCUCAAACACAUGCAUACAUCCUUAACCAUGCACAAGGGAGCUCAAACAAGCUUAAACUCCCUAAAACAACAUCUAAAGCAUACAUAGAUAGUUUAUGACCCACAUAGGCCAAAACCAUCAAAACAAACCAAACCUCACAUACUCUCUCCCA
rnacentral:lncRNA from 1 species